rnacentral:rRNA from 1 species
CAGUAGCCGCGGUAAUACGAAGGGGGCUAGCGUUGCUCGGAAUCACUGGGCGUAAAGCGUGCGUAGGUGGUGGUUUAAGUCCGUUGUGAAAGCCCUGGGCUCAACCUGGGAAUUGCAGUGGAUACUGGGUCACUAGAGUGUGGUAGAGGAUAGUGGAAUUUCCGGUGUAGCAGUGAAAUGCGUAGAGAUCGGAAGGAACAUCUGUGGCGAAGGCGACUAUCUGGGCCAACACUGACACUGAGGCACGAAAGCGUGGGGAGCAAACAGGAUUAGAUACCCCUGUAGUCCCUGUCUCUUAUAC